CAUCAGGAGACCCUGGAGAAGGAGACCUUUCCGGCAGGAGGCAGUCACAGCCUGCCAGCCUCUGAUGAAGAGAGAGAGGCAACUCAAGCAACAGGCAUGCCAGCGCUUCCAAGUGUGUCACAGCCCGGAGAAGCCCUGCACGACAGGAAAUACGCCUUUUUUCCAAAGCACCGAGGUUUGGCUAGUGGGAGAAGUGCAGCUGCCGCAGAGCCAAAAGACAUACGAAAGCAUUGCACGG